UCACAACCUCGUGAAUGCUGCGUCUGUCUCCAGCAGACCGGCUCGUCUUUAGCUUGGUCUGAACGAGUGACUCGGUUUUCCGGGUAAAUAACUUGCUGAAGUCGACACGCCACUGUUUCCCUGGAGGAGGAGAUGAGUGCGUUGGAAAGCAGAGCCGAGGGCCCAGUGUGGACGAGUCGAGGAAGAGAAGAGGGGCGCUCAGUCCUUAAGUUAAGGAAAGUCCCGUCUCUUCACACCUCUGAUGCAAAUGGCAGCGCCACGAACUGGAGCGAGGCCGCCUGUACCAUGACGUACUAAGACACACCAUGAAGGAGCUUCCCGUACAUCCAACCGGACCUUGCAGCAGCAUUGAGGAGUUCAGGAGGCGUCAGAGAACAAAGAGGCUGAUUGAAGCGGGACAGAUGACAUGGAUCCAUCCUUCCACAGCCAGGAGCUCACCGACCUGUGUGCCACACUUCAAAUAAGACUAGAAGCUACACUGGAUCUCACAGCUACACACCACAGACAAAGUCCCACAAAGAACGUAUGACCCAGAGGCUGCAAAGAGAAAUAAAGCUUUGACUCAACAUA